rnacentral:rRNA from 1 species
UACGAAGGGGGCAAGCGUUGUCCGGAAUCAUUGGGCGUAAAGAGCGUGUAGGCGGCUUGGUAAGUCCGCUGUGAAAGUCCAGGGCUCAACCCUGGAAUGCCGGUGGAAACUGUCAGGCUCGAGUCCGGAAGAGGCGAGUGGAAUUCCUGGUGUAGCGGUGAAAUGCGCAGAUAUCAGGAGGAACACCAAUGGCGAAGGCAGCUCGCUGGGACGGUACUGACGCUGAGACGCGAAAGCGUGGGGAGCAAACAGG